rnacentral:rRNA from 1 species
AUUAGUGGCGAACGGGUGAGUAACACGUGGGCAAUCUGCCCUGCACUCUGGGACAAGCCCUGGAAACGGGGUCUAAUACCGGAUACUGACCCGCUUGGGCAUCCAAGCGGUUCGAAAGCUCCGGCGGUGCAGGAUGAGCCCGCGGCCUAUCAGCUUGUUGGUGAGGUAAUGGCUCACCAAGGCGACGACGGGUAGCCGGCCUGAGAGGGCGACCGGCCACACUGGGACUGAGACACGGCCCAGACUCCUACGGGAGGCAGCAGUGGGGAAUAUUGCACAAUGGGCGAAAGCCUGAUGCAGCGACGCCGCGUGAGGGAUGACGGCCUUCGGGUUGUAAACCUCUUUCAGCAGGGAAGAAGCGAAAGUGACGGUACCUGCAGAAGAAGCGCCGGCUAACUACGUGCCAGCAGCCGCGGUAAUACGUAGGGCGCGAGCGUUGUCCGGAAUUAUUGGGCGUAAAGAGCUCGUAGGCGGCUUGUCACGUCGGUUGUGAAAGCCCGGGGCUUAACCCCGGGUCUGCAGUCGAUACGGGCAGGCUAGAGUUCGGUAGGGGAGAUCGGAAUUCCUGGUGUAGCGGUGAAAUGCGCAGAUAUCAGGAGGAACACCGGUGGCGAAGGCGGAUCUCUGGGCCGAUACUGACGCUGAGGAGCGAAAGCGUGGGGAGCGAACAGGAUUAGAUACCCUGGUAGUCCACGCCGUAAACGGUGGGCACUAGGUGUGGGCGACAUUCCACGUCGUCCGUGCCGCAGCUA